GGGAUGUUCUCGGAUCAUGAGCAUCAGGUUGACAGAAGCCUUGUUACAAUUGUUAAGUCGGAUAGGCCUGGUCUACAUGUAAGAGAUUUUCAUGGUCACUGGGUUCUUGUGGAUGGUGAUCUUGGCCCCCAAGAAGCAAUUGUUUAUCCUGGCCUUGCAUUAUAUCAGGCAACUGCGGGCUAUAUCAGCCCUGCACUUCAUCGGACAGACAUUGGUAAUCAGCAGGGUAGCAUAUAUGGACGCUGUUCUCUCUCUUUUAAACUUAUGCCCAAGUCCAUGACCAACCUCAAUUGUUCAGAAAUGCGGGCUGCUGGUCAUGGGGUUGAAGCUCAAUUCCAGCUUCCCGUACCAGUUGAUGACUUCAUGCAGAGAUCAACUGAUCAGUUGCUUAACAGGAGCAAUUUCCCUACAUUCAACUUUC
rnacentral:misc_RNA from 1 species